AGGAGAGCCAGGCUGCAAUGAGCUAUGAUCACACCAUUGUACUCCAGCUGGGGCAACAGAGUGAGACCUUGUCUCUAUUGAAAAAAAAAAAAAAAGAAAAAGAAAGAAUGACCAGAACUCUGACUUUAACUCACAGGAAAGCAAGUAAUUAGAAUACGAGGUGAGGCUCUCUAGAAACCUCAACUCAGAAACAUCACUCUUUUUUGAGACAAUGUCUUGUCUUGCUCUGUCACCCAGGCUGGAGUGCAGUGGCACCGUCAUACCUCACUGCAGCCUUUAAUUCCUGGGCUCAAGCAAUCCUCCUCCCUCAGCCUCUCAAAUAGCUGCAUCUACAGGCGAGCACCACCAUCAUGCUUGGUGAGGCUGGAACUACGCUCACCACAUGGACAGGCGUGAUCUCUGUACAUAUGAGCCAACACAGUUACAUGACUGGAUGCCUCCUCCACAUCAUGUUCUCUUGCCUGCUAACUGGGAGAAAACUGAAGAAGACUCCAGGAUCCUGGGAGAUAGAGGUGGAGCCCACAGAUGGAAUAAAACCAAGUCCUGGAUUCACUGUAUGGAAGAAAUAUACGCAUUAACCAGGAACAUCUACAGUAGAUAAUUAGAGGAGAGUGAUGAUCCACGGAGAUUAGGCGGGUUUAUUUGUUAUAGCAGCUAGUGUUACCCUAUUACAGAGUCAGAGGAAAUAAUGUAUAUAAAAUAAGCCCAGUGUCUCGCAGAUAACCACGUUCAAUAAAUGUUUUUGUUUGUCCCUUUGAA
rnacentral:lncRNA from 1 species